rnacentral:rRNA from 1 species
CAAUGGGCGAAAGCCUGACGGAGCAAUACCGCGUGAGGGAGGAAGGCUCUUGGGUUGUAAACCUCUUUUCUCAGGGAAGAAAAAAAUGACGGUACCUGAGGAAUAAGCAUCGGCUAACUCCGUGCCAGCAGCCGCGGUAAUACGGAGGCAAGCGUUAUCCGGAAUGAUUGGGCGUAAAGCGUCCGCAGGUGGCGAUGAAAGUCUGCUGUUAAAGAGUGAGGCUCAACCUCAUAAAAGCAGUGGAAACUACAUAGCUAGAGUACGUUCGGGGCAGAGGGAAUUCCUGGUGUAGCGGUGAAAUGCGUAGAGAUCAGGAAGAACACCGGUGGCGAAAGCGCUCUGCUAGGCCUGUACUGAC